ACCGCUGCAAGUUAGCACUGGACAGAGUAGCAUCAACUUCUUCAUUUAGAGUUUCUUCAGUUAAAUUGCUGGGAUUUUCGACAAGGCUUUCCUUAUGUGGAUUAUUGGAGUGUGAUGCCCGGGAAUUCUCUACUUGUAGAAGCACCCCCACGUGACUGCAGAAGCCUUCACACCCAGCACGCUCAGAAAGUACUGUCUUCAACCUCACCAAUGUUAGUGGCGGCGUCGGCGGUGUCACCAUCACCAUCAGAGAAAAAGAAAUAUGCCUUUAUGUCAUGAUGGGAUUGAGUGAUGGCCAUCCAGUGACCAGCUGGAUCUGACUGCCUUACAAGACGCAUGUGUAUGAUUAAGAGAGAGACAUUCGUGACUCCCAGAUGUACCUCCUUCCUGUCCCACAGUGUUCCUGAAGGGAGUGAGUUAUGGGGUAACUUAUAACACAGCAGGCUCUUCCUCAAGAUAGCUCUUGUCAAAACAGGAAGACGAAACUCGGGUUUCCAUGAGGAGACCACAGCUUGGGAUCCUGUCUGGAUGUACAAGCAGAAGCAUCUUCAUACUUUUCCAUUUCUAACCGUCAUGCCUCACCCCACCCUCCCAAGGCGACAUCUGCUGAGAGGUGGAACCAUCUAGGGAGGCCUGCCACUGUUUGCUGAGCUCCGGGUGAGGAUGAAGACAUUUUGACAUGGUCAGCUUCAGACUCGGGAUCUGUCGGUGUUAGCAGCCGAAGGAGAAUGAGGAGGAGGAGGAGGAGGGAGAGGAGGAGGAAGUAAGACAGAGGGGGACAAGAGGACCAAGAGGGCACAUGGCUGAGGAGGAGGAGAAC
ensembl:processed_transcript RIKEN cDNA 2610307P16 gene